rnacentral:rRNA from 1 species
AUUGAACGCUGGCGGCAGGCCUAACACAUGCAAGUCGAACGAGUGGCGGACGGGUGAGCAAUGGCUGGGAAACUGCCCGGUGGAGGGGGCUAACUACUGGGAACAGUAGCUAAUAACGCAUACCAUCGGAUGUGCCACUGUGGGAUUAGCUAGUGGGGGGGGGAACGGCUCACCUAGGCGACGAUCCCUAGCUGGUGUGAGAGGAUGACCAGCCACACUGGAACUGAGACACGGUCCAGACUCCUACGGGAGGCAGCAGUGGGGAAUAUUGCACAAUGGGCGCAAGCCUGAGGCAGCCAUGCCGCGUGUGUGAAGAAGGCCUUCGGGUUGUAAAGUACUUUCAGCGAGGAGGCGUUACUCGCAGAAGAAGCACCGGCUAACUCCGUGCCAGCAGCCGCGGUAAUUC